ACUGAGUGGCCUAGUUACAGUUUUGACUUACUUAAAAAUCUAUGGCAAGACUUGAAAAUGGCAGUCUAGCAAUGAUUAACAACUAAAUUGACAACGCAUGAAGAAUUUUUGGAAGAAUAAUGGAAAAAUAUUGUACAAUCCAGACGUGCAAAGCUUUACCAAUUUACCCAGAAAGACUCACUGCUUUAAUUGCUGCCAAAGGUGAUUGUAACAUGUUGUUGAAUACUCAGGAUGUUGAAUACUUAUCUAGUCAAGAUACAUUAGUGUUUAAUUUUCCAUAAAUUUAUUUGAGUAUUUUGUAUAGAUUGUUUACAACAACAAAAAAGGCAAUUCAAUCCCACUUUGUAACACAACAAAAUGUGGUAAAAGUCAGGGGGGUGUGAAUACUUUCUGAAGGUACUGUACUGUAUAAUUAGAAGGUACUGUACUGUAUAAUUAGAAGGUACUGUACUGUAUAAUUAGAAGGUACUGUAGAGUAUAAUUAGAAGGUACUGUAGAUAGAAGGCACUGUGGAUAGAAGGCACUGUACUGUAGAUAGAAGGUACUGUAGAUAGAAGGUACUGUAGAUAGAAGGCACUGUGGAUAGAAGGUACUGUACUGUAAUUAGAAGGUACUGUAGAUAGAAGGCACUGUAGAUAGAAGGUACUGUAGAUAGAAGGUACUGUGGAUAGAAGGCACUGUACUGUAGAUAGAAGGUACUGUAGAUAGAAGGCACUGUACUGUAGAUAGAAGGUACUGUAGAUAGAAGGCACUG